rnacentral:rRNA from 1 species
GCUAACUACGNGCCAGCAGCCGCGGUAAUACGUAGGGUGCGAGCGUUAAUNGGAAUUACUGGGCGUAAAGCGAGCGCAGACGGUUACUUAAGCAGGAUGUGAAAUCCCCGGGCUCAACCUGGGAACUGCGUUNUGAACUGGGUAGCUAGAGUAUGUCAGAGGGGGGUAGAAUUCCACGUGUAGCAGUGAAAUGCGUAGAGAUGUGGAGGAAUACCGAUGGCGAAGGCAGCCCCCUGGGAUAAUACUGACGUUCAUACUCGAAAGCGUGGGUAGCAAACAGGAUUAGAUACCCUGGUAGUCCACGCCCUAAACGAUGUCGAUUAGCUGUUGGGCAACUUGAUUGCUUAGUAGCGUAGCUAACGCGUGAAAUCGACCGCCUGGGGAGUACGGUCGCAAGAUUAAAACUCAAAGGAAUUGACGGGGACCCGCACAAGCGGUGGAUGAUGUGGAUUAAUUCGAUGCAACGCGAAGAACCUUACCUGGUCUUGACAUGUACGGAAGAACUCAGAGGCGAGUUUGUGCCUUCGGGAGCCGUAACACAGGUGCUGCAUGGCUGUCGUCAGCUCGUGUCGUGAGAUGUUGGGUUAAGUCCCGCAACGAGCGCAACCCUUGUCAUUAGUUGCCAUCAUUUAGUUGGGCACUCUAAUGAGACUGCCGGUGACAAACCGGAGGAAGGUGGGGAUGACGUCAAGUCCUCAUGGCCCUUAUGACCAGGGCUUCACACGUCAUACAAUGGUCGGUACAGAGGGUAGCCAAGCCGCGAGGUGGAGCCAAUCCCAGAAAACCGAUCGUAGUCCGGAUUGCACUCUGCAACUCGAGUGCAUGAAGUCGGAAUCGCUAGUAAUCGCAGGUCAGCAUACUGCGGUGAAUACGUUCCCGGGUCUUGUACACACCGCCCGUCACACCAUGGGAGUGGGGGAUACCAGAAGUUGGUAGGGUAACCGCAA